rnacentral:rRNA from 1 species
UGCAGAAUCCCGUGAACCAUCGAGUCUUUGAACGCAAGUUGCGCCUGAAGCCAUCAGGCUGAGGGCACGUCUGCCUGGGCGUCAAACACCGAUGCCCCCCCAAAUCCCCUCGUCACUCUCCCCUGAGUGCCCGGGGAGUGUGGGGGUCGGAUGAUGGCCUCCCGUGUCUUGGCUCGCGGUUGGCCCAAAGUCGAGUCCUCGGUCACGGUUACCGUGGUGACAGGUGGUUGUCGGUCGCUCGGUACCUCGUCACGUGCGCCGGACACGAAUCGAGACUCUCUUGAUUACCCCAACGCAUCCCCGUUUGGGUGCCUCUGAUGUGACCCCAGGUCAGGCGGGGCUACCCGCUGAGUUUAAGCAUAUCAAUAAGCGGAGGAAAAGAAACUUACGAGGAUUCCCCUAGUAACGGCGAGCGAACCGGGAAAAGCCCAGGUUGAGAAUCGAUCGCCCCCGGUGUUCGA